UGUAACACCAGGACGGGUCCUCUCAGCAUGGGUUAUGAACUCCCCUGUUCCCCGACCUCUUACGCUGUGUGUACUUUAUCUCCCCUUGUUCUGAGGCCUCGUGCGUCAUUGAGGAACCUGCCACAUGGGGCUCCUGAGAGAGAUCUCAGGGGAGCAAUCCUGAGGGUGUGGUGUCUCCUAGCACUCAUGUAUGAGCCUGAGCUUUAGCGCCAAGCUCCCACACAGCGUUAGAGACCACCAAGGGAGCUUCAGGCUGGAGUGGACACUGGAAGACGCGCUCACCGCCAGACCCCGGGAGCUGUUCCCACCCACGAAGCAUCACAGCUGGCGUAGGAAGCCGCCUACGCAGUUUACAUAUUCUACACCAUUUGGUGUCUCACUCCAGCCCAGACUAACCUGGAGCUCACUGGAGCCUAGGCUGGCCGGGGACUUAGAACAAUCC